UACGUAGGGGGCAAGCGUUGUUCGGAAUUACUGGGUGUAAAGGGUUCGUAGGCGGUGCGGCAAGUCGGGAGUGAAAUCUCUGGGCUUAACCCAGAGGCUGCUUCCGAAACUGCUGUGCUUGAGUGUGGGAGAGGCGCGUGGAAUUGCAGGUGUAGCGGUGAAAUGCGUAGAUAUCUGCAGGAACACCCGUGGCGAAAGCGGCGCGCUGGACCACUACUGACGCUGAGGAACGAAAGCUAGGGGAGCAAACAGG
rnacentral:rRNA from 1 species